rnacentral:rRNA from 1 species
UGGGGAAUAUUGCACAAUGGGCGAAAGCCUGAUGCAGCAACGCCGCGUGAGUGAUGAAGGCCUUCGGGUUGUAAAGCUCUGUCUUUUGGGACGAUAAUGACGGUACCAAAGGAGGAAGCCACGGCUAACUACGUGCCAGCAGCCGCGGUAAUACGUAGGUGGCAAGCGUUGUCCGGAUUUACUGGGCGUAAAGGAUGCGUAGGCGGAUUUUUAAGUGAGAUGUGAAAACCCUAAGCUUAACUUGGGGACUGCAUUUCAUACUGGAAAUCUAGAGUGCGGGAGAGGAGAAUGGAAUUCCUAGUGUAGCGGUGAAAUGCGUAGAGAUUAGGAAGAACACCAGUGGCGAAGGCGAUUCUCUGGACCGUAACUGACGCUGAGGCAUGAAAGCGUGGGUAGCAAACAGGAUUAGAUACCCUGGUAGUCCACGCCGUAAACGAUGAGUACUAGGUGUAGGAGGUAUCGACCCCUUCUGUGCCGCAGUUAACACAAUAAGUACUCCGCCUGGGAAGUACGAUCGCAAGAUUAAAACUCAAAUGAAUUGACGGGGUCAUAGCUG